CAGGGGCUCCGAGGCGGGAGCAAAACCCGGCCGCUGCUCUGCACGCUGCUCCCGCCUGCACGCCUGGCCUCGCCCCACGCCCGCCGGGCUCCGCCGCCUGCUCCCUUCCCUCUCCCCUGGUUCCCUCCCUCUUUCUCCUCCCUCCUCCCUCCCUCCCUCUCCCUUCCUUUCUCGCCGCCUCUGUCAGUCUCUGGCUCUCCCUGCCUUUCAGCCCAGCCUCUCUCCACUUCCGUCUCUCCUGUCUAAGGUCCUCGUUCUGUUUUUCCGUGUGCCUCCCACUGUCCUUCCAUCCCCACGUCGCACCCUCGCUCCUCGGCUUCCCCUGCCGCUCUGCUUCUUCCCUAAAGUCCUCCCGAGAAAGAGUAGGGACUCUGGAGUUUCCGCCGCCGCGGGCAGAAGGGCAGGAAGAGCUCCAGGGCUGCCCCAGCUCCUGAGCUCUUGGCGGAAGCUUCUGCUCCCUCCCGGCCCUGCUCCGUGCGCCGGCCGCCCAUCCUCCGGCGGCGGCUGCGACCCCGACCUCGGCGGGGGAAAGGACCGAAAAGCAAGAGUGCUGGUGCUCUGCUCGCCCGCCCAAGCGUCAAGGCGCCCAUCCACCCGUCCCCGGCUCGGCUCUGUGUCUCCAGAGGGAUCGGCAUCCCUGUGGAGAGAGCCCAGCUGGGAUCGCCCCGCGCCCGCGGAGUCUCUGCCGUCUCCCCCCUCUCCUGGGUUCUGGUGCAGCGGGUCUCAGCUCCGCGAAGGGGAAGGGCGAGGCGAAGCGACGCGGCUCCUUCUCGACCCGCUGCAGCGCCCCUUGGGCUCGCUGGCCCGGCGGCUACACGCGCCCUCCAGGUGGCGGCACCGCCUGGUGUCCGGUCCCGGGGCCGCAGGGUCCGGCCCUGCCAGCAGGCGGCGCUGCCCAGGCCAGAGCAGGGGGGACGCACCCCGGAUCCAGACACCGCCCAAGCCCAGGACGAACCCCUCUCCCCCUCCUUUCUCCAGGAACUGCAGUCCCAGCUCGAGACCCCCAGUAGGAGACCCCAGGCUGCGCUCUACUUAUUCCCACCCCGUGGGGCUCCUUCGAGACACCCGCGCCCUUCCGGGACCCUAGCCCGUCCCUACCUCCAUCCUGGUCUCGAGGGGCGCCCCAGCUAAGCCGGGCAGCGUCCUGGCCGGGACUGGGCAGCAGGGAGUACAGAGUCGCGGGACCGCUCCUCGGGCUGGACCCUUCUCCAGACCAAAGACGGCGCCUGGGGCGGGGAGAGACGGACCCCCCUUCAUGGAGACAGACACACGCUGACUCCGAUUGACCCAGGUCCCCAACUUCCCCUCAGCAUUAACUAGAACGCUCUCCCCUUUCCAGUGGAGGGCGUCCCACCCUUCUUCCCGGCCCUUCUUUUAACCCACUUCCCCUGGGAGUUUCCGGGACCCCUCCCCUCAAUCCUCCCAUCCCCGGGAUCUCGGGAGACUGUUCCUCCCUCUCUGCUCAGCUGACCCUCCACUUGCCCCCAUUUCUGAGGGAGGUAAGUUGGGGGAGAGUAAAUUCUCUCUCCACUCCCUCCUCCCGAGGCUGGAUUUAACCUGGAAAGUGCUUUGAGAAGGCACCUCCUCCCCCACUCCCUCUGUAGUCUAGUCUAGUGGGUCACGGAGCCCCUACCACCCACCCACCUCCAAGUUGCUCAGCUUCGAC
rnacentral:lncRNA from 1 species